AUGAACAUCCAAGGCAGUUUCUUAGUAUGCCAGAAGAAGCCCAGCAGAUGGUUCUUUAACCUGAGGCACACCUUGCAGUUUGGCAUUGGAUUACACCAUGUCGGUCUGAAUGACAAAGAUAGAUCUAUGGUUGAGGAGCUUUUCGCAAACAACAAGAUUCAGGCAUUUCUGUUUUACCUCAAUAAGCAUGAGUCUUUCAUGAAUAACACAUUUGGAAAAGAGAAUAUAAAAAGACAAUUUUCUUACUCCAUAUACUGAUAGGCAUAUGUAUUAAAUUAUAGGUAUUCGUUUGUACCAGUACAUUGGCAUGA
rnacentral:lncRNA from 1 species